rnacentral:rRNA from 1 species
CUGCGGAAGGAUCAUUAACGAACUCCCGGAAGGAUGCGCUCGCUGCUGGGCUUCUCAGAAGUCAACGUGCACACGCUCUUUCCUCUCGUUCAACCAAUCUACCCCUAUCUGUGCACCCCUCGUAGGCUGAGAUCUCUUAGCUUAUGUUCUUUCCACAAUACAAUCCUAAUAUAUUAGCGAAUGGCAGCCGUUCGAGUCUCGUCUCGACGAAGCAAAUAUACACAACUUUCAACAACGGAUCUCUUGGCUCUCGCAUCGAUGAAGAACGCAGCGAAAUGCGAUAAGUAAUGUGAAUUGCAGAAUUCAGUGAAUCAUCGAAUCUUUGAACGCACCUUGCGCCCCUUGGUACUCCGAGAGGCAUGCCUGUUUGAGUGUCAUUGAACCAUCAACCCGAGUGGCUUUCGAGCUUCUAUCGGAGUUUGGAGCUUGCGGCGUGCGGGGAAGGCUCUCCGGGGCCUCUCCCGCUCCUCGCGGAAUACAUCAGCAGAUGUCCACUUGCGGUCCAGCCUUGGCGUGAUAACUGUCUACGUCCUGGCUUGGGUCGCGUUACCCUGGCUCUGCUUCGAACGGUCGUCGUUCUGGCGACGGCAUGAAUUGACAAAUUUGACCUCAAAUCAGGUAGGAU